rnacentral:rRNA from 1 species
GUGAGGAAUAUUGGUCAAUGGACGCAAGUCUGAACCAGCCAUGCCGCGUGCAGGAUGACGGCUCUAUGAGUUGUAAACUGCUUUUGUACGAGGGUAAACGCAGAUACGUGUAUCUGUCUGAAAGUAUCGUACGAAUAAGGAUCGGCUAACUCCGUGCCAGCAGCCGCGGUAAUACGGAGGAUCCAAGCGUUAUCCGGAUUUAUUGGGUUUAAAGGGUGCGUAGGCGGUUUUAUAAGUUAGAGGUGAAAAUUCGGGGCUCAACUCCGGACGUGCCUCUAAUACUGUAUGACUAGAGAUUAGAUGCGGUAGGCGGAAUGUAUGGUGUAGCGGUGAAAUGCGUAGAGAUCAUACAGAACACCGAUUGCGAAGGCAGCUUACCAAACUAUAUCUGACGUUGAGGCACGAAAGCGUGGGGAGCAAACAGG